GGAAAGUAGACAAACCACCCGCACAAAAACACUCUUUCUUCUUACUCUCAGUUGAGGUCAAUUCUUGGAAUCAUGUCUGAAAUAGGAACAUCUUCUGCACCCAGCCAACAGCAGCCAUCCCCUCAACAAGAAGGUCCAUCCCAACCACAUAAUGGCAUAGAUUGCAGUACUGCAGUUGGAUGUACUAGAAGUGACUGCCAAUUUUUCCACCGGUCCUGUGUGGGGAAGCGCUUACCUGUGGAAUUUAAUGAACUUGGGCAGCCCAUUGGAGCAAAUGCAAGGAUACUGGCUCAAUCAAUUGGGGACAUUUCAUGCAAUUGGGAAGUUUGCCCCCAUCUCCAACAUUGAGUGGAAAAUGGUGCCAAAUCAGAAGAAGGAAGAGAUGUUGAAAGCCAUAGAGGUUUUGUUGUUCUUGUUGAGGUUCCAUGACAGAAUGAAACAAGAAGAAAACAAAGGGAAGAAACAAAUGAGAGGGAG